rnacentral:rRNA from 1 species
UCAGAGUGAACGCUGGCGGCGUGCUUAACACAUGCAAGUCGAACGAGAACGGAUUAUAGCUUGCUAUAAUUGUCAGCUAAGUGGCGCACGGGUGAGUAAUGUAUAGGUAAUAUGCCUCUUACUAAGGGAUAACAAAUGGAAACGUUUGCUAAUACCUUAUACUCCUUAUUAACCUAAGUUAAUAAGGGAAAGAUUUAUUGGUAAGAGAUUAGCCUGUAUUGUAUCAGUUAGUUGGUGGGGUAAUGGCUUACCAAGACUAUGACACAUAACUGGUUUGAGAGGAUGAUCAGUCACACUGGAACUGAGACACGGUCCAGACUCCUACGGGAGGCAGCAGGUGGGGAAUAUUGCACAAUGGACGAAAGUCUGAUGCAGCAACGCCGCGUGGAGGAUGACACAUUUCGGUGCGUAAACUCCUUUUAUAUGAGAAGAUAAUGACGGUAUUAUAUGAAUAAGCACCGGCUAACUCCGUGCCAGCAGCCGCGGUAAUACGGGG